GGGCCUAUAGUUCAUCGGUAGAACGCGCCCAUGGCAUGGGCGAGGGCGGGGUUCAAUUCCCCGUAGGUCCA
rnacentral:tRNA from 1 species